UACGUAGGGCGCAAGCGUUGUCCGGAAUUAUUGGGCGUAAAGAGCUCGUAGGCGGUUUGUCGCGUCUGCUGUGAAAACCUAAGGCUCAACCUUGGGCUUGCAGUGGGUACGGGCAGACUAGAGUGCGGUAGGGGUGACUGGAAUUCCUGGUGUAGCGGUGGAAUGCGCAGAUAUCAGGAGGAACACCAAUAGCGAAGGCAGCUCGCUGGGACGGUACUGACGCUAAGGCGCGAAAGCGUGGGGAGCGAACAGG
rnacentral:rRNA from 1 species